rnacentral:rRNA from 1 species
GUGGCGGACGGGUGAGUAAUACGUAGGCAACCUGCCUCAAAGAGAGGGAUAACUGGGAGAAAUUUCAGCUAAUACCUCAUAAGACCACACUGCGGCAUCGCAGAGGGGUCAAAGGAGUAAUCCGCUUUGAGAUGGGCCUACGGCUGAUUAGUUUGUUGGUGGGGUAACGGCCUACCAAGACUAUGAUCAGUAGCCGGGCUGAGAGGCUGGCCGGCCACAUUGGGACUGAGACACGGCCCAGACUCCUACGGGAGGCAGCAGUCGGGAAUAUUGGACAAUGGGGGAAACCCUGAUCCAGUGACGCCGCGUGAAGGAAGAAGGUCUUCGGAUUGUAAACUUAUUUUAUUAGGGAAGAAACAAAUGACUGUACCUAAAAAAAAAGCACCGGCUAACUACGUGCCAGCAGCCGCGGUAAUACGUAGGGUGCAAGCGUUAUCCGGAUUUAUUGGGCGUAAAGCGCGUCUAGGCGGUUUGGUAAGUCUGAUGUGAAAAUGCGGGGCUCAACUCCGUAUUGCGUUGGAAACUGCCAAACUAGAGUACUGGAGAGGUAGGCGGAACUACAAGUGUAGAGGUGAAAUUCGUAGAUAUUUGUAGGAAUGCCGAUGGGGAAGCCAGCCUACUGGACAGAUACUGACGCUAAAGCGCGAAAGCGUGGGUAGCAAACAGGAUUAGAUACCCUGGUAGUCCACGCCGUAAACGAUGAUUGCUAGGUGUUGGGGGUCGAACCUCAGCGCCCCAAGCUAACGCGAUAAGUAAUCCGCUUGGGGAGUACGUACGCAAGUAUGAAACUCAAAGGAAUUGACGGGGACCCGCACAAGCCGGUGGAGCAUGUGGUUUAGUUCGACGCAACGCGAGGAACCUUACCAGCGUUUGACAUCCCAAGAAGUUAACAGAGAUGUUUUCGUGCCUCUUCGGAGGAACUUGGUGACAGGUGGUGCAUGGCCGUCGUCAGCUCGUGUCGUGAGAUGUUGGGUUAAGUCCCGCAACGAGCGCAACCCUUAUUGUUAGUUGCCAUCAUUCAGUUGGGCACUCUAGCGAGACUGCCGCAGACAAUGCGGAGGAAGGUGGGGAUGACGUCAAAUCAUCAUGCCCCUUAUGACCUGGGCUACACACGUGCUACAAUGGAGAGUACAACGAGUCGCAAAGCCGCGAGGCUAAGCCAAUCUCUUAAAGCUCUUCUCAGUUCGGAUUGUAGGCUGCAACUCGCCUACAUGAAGCCGGAAUCGCUAGUAAUCGCGGAUCAGCACGCCGCGGUGAAUACGUUCCCGGGUCUUGCACACACCGCCCGUCA